AUGGCGACGAUCGAUCGAUACAUGGCCCGGCACGUACGUGGGUGCGUGGUAGCGGUUGGCUUCCUUCUAGGCUCUAGCGGUCGCGCGCGUAGGGUCGCCGUCGAUCAUGCCGGAGGGGAAAAGUAUAUACAAGUCGACGACGACGACUUACCGAGCCUGCGUGUGGAUGAAACUCAACAGAAAAUAGCGCAACAUAUAUGCCUACUUCGGGAGUAUAUAAGAUCGCUAGCUGUCGCGUGGAUGAUAUUUGAUUCAGAAAACUACCGGGACGACAUUUUCGUCCCUCGCCCUCGCACGUACACGGUCGUGUGCGCUGCGCGAUGUCGACCGUCGUCGACAUACAUUAGUAGGCUUUUGACCCGAUUGGUAAGGCCCUUUAGUCCCGGUUUUUGA
rnacentral:rRNA from 1 species